rnacentral:lncRNA from 1 species
GCGUGACAACCACCGGUAACCUACGGACGACGUCAAAAAAAAAAAGAGAGAGAAGAAGAAAAGAAGAGAAAAAGAAAGAAGGGAAUACAACAAUAACAAUGGUAAAGGAAAGAAGUUCGGCAGACAACAAUUCGACGCAAAAUACGGACGAAAUAACAAAAUCUCCUUCUCAUUUUUCGAUUAACAAGAUGUACGUUACAAGACCCGGAGGGUCAGAAAAGAAUACAUUAUUACA